rnacentral:misc_RNA from 1 species
UUGAAUAAACAUUUGAUAGGCUGUUGCUGGCCCUUGGUAGUGUGCACGCUUGUCAUUUAUUUGUUUGUUUUUCCACCUGUGCACCUUUUUGUAGACCUUAGAAUUUGGGGACUGCUGUGCGAGUGCCAGCUUUUCCUUGUCUCUCUCUAGGUUCUAUGUUUUUCACAUACUCCUACGAAUGUAAUAGAAUGUUGAUCUGGGUAUAAAGUUAUAUA